rnacentral:rRNA from 1 species
UACGAAGGGGCUAGCGUUGUUCGGAAUUACUGGGCGUAAAGCGCGCGCAGGCGGUCUUCCAAGUCAGUGGUGAAAGCCCGGAGCUCAACUCCGGAACUGCCAUUGAAACUGUUAGACUUGAGGACGAGAGAGGUGAGUGGAAUUCCCAGUGUAGAGGUGAAAUUCGUAGAUAUUGGGAAGAACACCGGUGGCGAAGGCGGCUCACUGGCUCGUAUCUGACGCUCAGGCGCGACAGCGUGGGGAUCAAACAAGG